CGGGCAGCCGACACUACGCCGUCUAGGCGACAUAGACUUGGAUGAGUAGGAGGACGUGGCGGUUGUGCAGAAGCGUGAGCGCGAGCUUGCGUGGAACGGCCGCUAGUGCAGAUCUUGGUGGUAGUAGCAAAUAUUCAAAUGAGAACCUUGAAGGGCGAAGCGGGGAAGGGUUCCACGCGAACAUUGAUUGAGCGUGGGUAAGUCGUUCCUAAGCCGUCUGGCAAUCGCUAGUAACCGGCGAAAGGGAAGCAGGUUGAUAUUCCUGCACACGGAUGUGGAUGCGGUGACGCACCAUGGUGGCGGUGACGUUGUCGGGACGCACUGGGCAGAGAUUUCUUUUCUGUUUGACAUCCCAGCGCACUCUGUGGAAUCCGAUUGUCGGGAGAAACAGGUGUGUUGUGGCAUAGCGCCGGGUUUUUUCUGGCGUCCAGUUCGCGACCGGCGGCCCUUGAAAAACCGUCUGCUGGCAGAGUA
rnacentral:rRNA from 1 species